ensembl:lncRNA
CGACGAAGAUGAGGAGCUGAGCCCCACGUUCCCGGGCGGUGAGAUGGCCAUCGAGGUGUUCGAGCUGGCAGAGAACGAGGAUGCCUUGUCCCCUGUGGACAUGGAGCCCGAGAAGCUAGUGCACAAGUUCAAGGAGCUCCAGAUCAAGCAUGCUGUGACUGAGGCAGAGAUCCAGCAGCUGAAAAGAAAGCUGCAGAGCCUGGAGCAGGAGAAGGGGCGGUGGCGGGUGGAGAAGGCCCAGCUGGAGCAGAGUGUGGAGGAGAACAAGGAGCGCAUGGAGAAGCUGGAGGGCUACUGGGGUGAGGCCCAGAGCCUGUGCCAGGCUGUGGACGAGCACCUGCGGGAGACCCAGGCCCAAUACCAGGCCCUGGAGCGCAAGUACAGCAAGGCCAAGCGCCUCAUCAAGGACUACCAGCAGAAGGAGAUCGAGUUCCUGAAAAAGGAGACGGCACAGCGCCGGGUUCUGGAGGAGUCGGAGCUGGCGAGGAAGGAAGAGAUGGACAAGCUCCUGGACAAGAUCUCAGAACUGGAAGGCAACCUGCAGACACUGAGGAAUUCCAACUCUACUUAACAGGAAUCAUUCCUUGAGCGGACAAUACUGAAUCCCCUCCCAUCGUCCUCCCUCCCCUGUCCUCAAUAGUUCACCCCGCCCCCUACCAGCCUGGGGACAGGUGCCCCGACUUCCCCACCCCUCCACCCCACUUUCCCCAGCUUCAGGGACCAGAGGGCCCGAAUCACAAGGCCCCCUUUAGGUGGCCCGGGCAACACAGGUGGCGGCAGGAAGGAUGGCCUCCUCCUUGCCCAUGGGGCUGAGGCAUGGGCCAUGGGAUGCUAAAGGGCUGGCCUGGGUGGUGGACGGACACAAGGACCUGCAGACCAAACUGCCAGACUUUACAACCUCCAGCCUUUGUCUCUGGACCGGACUGGGGCUGGGGGCUCUUCCAGCAUCUCACCAUCUGGAGGCUGCUCCCUGCUCACGGGGCUCCUGGGUGGCCCCUGGGCCUCUUGCCUUGUACUAACAUCGCAGAGAUUCAGCCUCACCCCCCACCCCAGUUUUCCAAUGUUCAGACCGGAGGGCAAAAUUUUACUCCUCCUCCUCCUCAUCUCUUUGGAGACCAGGGCUGCCCUGCUGGCAGCCUGCUUUCUAAAUGAAAUCGACGCCGUUUCCCCACUUGAACCCCAAAUUGGGGCUUGGACCAAGGGAGGUGAGACCCGCCCCCCACGUCCCCUCCCCUUUCAGAAUCCAUCUCUCAUUUCGCCUCUUCCUCGUGCCCCUGCCACAGCCUGGGUUUUUGUUCUUUUUUUUAAAAAAACGGACAACCCCGUUCCAUCCCUUUGGGCUUCUCCUCGUCCCCUUGUAAAUAGACUACGCCAUCGAUCAGUAUUUCUCGGCACCCUCUUCCUGCCCCCAGACGUGCGCCCACCCUACGAAAGAGCUGGCUGUCUCAGCGCCCCCGCCCGUGCACUUCGCCUCCUCCGCCCAGGCAGAGGGAGGGGGCGGGGCUGCGUGGGCCGCCGGGGGCCACCCCUGCCCCGCCUCCCGCAGGACUGCGUCUCUGUACAUAAUAUAUAUAUGUAUGUAUUGUUCCCGGUUUUGUACGGACCAUGCCCUCUGUCAGGUCGUCCCCAUAAAAGCAGCCCCCAGA